rnacentral:lncRNA from 1 species
GGAGUAGGCAGUCAGCCUAAACACUUCUGCUAUGGGAUCAAUGAGGAUUCGGGGGCAAAAAACAAACUUCAGUACUUUAGCAAGUGCUGCACCAAGGACAGCCUCGUCAGAUGGAUGUAGUACUUCCCCUGAAGGAGGAGAGCAAGAUGAUGUGGCCAACUAGGAACUACAGAACUGAUCAUGUUUGUUAAAUCUUGGCAGCAAGAGAAGAUGCAUCCUCAGGAAAUCACAAACCUCUCAGGACGUGUUAUUUUCCAUCAGCAGUAAGCAGCACUGAUGUGUGCAGUUCUGGGAGGACAGAGCUGAAACAAGACAAGAAGAAAAGCUGCAGAAGUAAAAUUGCCUCUAAAGCUCCUUUAAAAUGCACAGGACAGGAGGGAACAAGUGGACAUUGAUUAUGAUGAAACCUUUUGCUUCCUGUACUGUUUGGCAUUCCUUAAUAUGUCCUGAUGGCUUUGAUUUCCUCUCCUCCAUUGCAGAAUCAAAGAAUGCUGCACCAACACAAUGCUGUCCACAUCUGGAUGCCACAGGGAAAAUGAUCUGA